rnacentral:rRNA from 1 species
UGAACGCUGGCGGCGUGCCUAACACAUGCACGUCGACCGGAGUCCAGCCUUUAAGACCUUCGGGUCAAAGAGGGGAAGACUGAGUGGCGGACGGGUGAGUAACACGUGGGCAACCUGGCUCAUAGAGGGGGAUAACAGAGAGAAAUUUCUGCUAAUACCGCAUAAGCACACACUGCCGCAUGGCAGAGGGUGAAAAGAGAAUCGCUAUGAGAUGGACCCGCGUCUGAUUAGCCAGUUGGCAGGGUAAGAGCCUACCAAAGCGACGAUCAGUAGCCGAUCUGAGAGGAUGAACGGCCACAUUGGGACUGAGACACGGCCCAAACUCCUACGGGAGGCAGCAGUGGGGGAUAUUGCACAAUGGGGGGAACCGUGAUGCAGCGACGCCGCGUGAGUGAAGAAGUAUUUCGGUAUGUAAAGCUCUAUCAGCAGGGAAGAUAAUGACAGUACCUGAAUAAGAAGCCCCGGCUAACUACGUG